AGUACCAGCACCUGGAAUCGACUCUUGUCUGGAUUCGUUGACCAGGGGCACGCUUGACAUGUUGACCAUCUGCGAGCUCUCUUCCAGUCUUCAUAUCCUGUUUGUUUGAUGCUAAAUAAACCAAAGUCAGUCCUGUUUUGACACGUUGUGGCUCCAGAUUAAAUACUGACCGAAGCCCUUUUUACAUGACCAUGGAUAAAGACUGGGCCAUUCUUCAAGGAUCUUUCCUCCUGGCUGAUAAGUUAUGUCUGCCGUCCUCGCUGAGCUCACUUCAGAAAUGUGACUGGGACAAGGUGGGCAAGCCAGUCUUGGCCACAGUGAGGGAAAUCUGUGGCGAGGAGGAUGUCGGUGGUCAUCUCAAGAGCAAGGCCGCCUCCUGGAGGAAAAAGUUAGUUUGUGUUGUGUGGUUGAAGUUGUUGAGCAGGGAGAAUAGAGAGGAUGUGGAGGAGGUGUGGAGGGAGAGCACCUUUUUCCCUCUCCAGAGCCCCCUCCCAGAAGUCAAUCACACCGUCCUGAUGGAAUUGCUCAAAUCCUUGUCAGCUGCAGACAUAUUUGCUCAUUUUCUACUGUGUCUUCCUCCGCGUCAGAUGUGUUCUGAGCUGGAACGGUUGACGGAGCAUGUGAAAAGCAACCCUGUGGGUGAGGAUGAUGUCCAUUUCUUUCUUGAGUUAUGGUGGCAACUGUGGAAAGGCAGAUAUGAGCAGUUUGGAGAGCAGCAAAACCUUGAAGUGUUGUUUGCUAACCAGGUUGCUCAUCUUACUUCUCAGCCUGCUAGUUUGACUCAUCAGGCUGCCAAGAGGCUGAAACUGGACUCAUCAGCAUUACCACACAACACGGGUGUCCUAGACAUUCUCCUCCACACGCUCACAGAUAUGAAGGAUGUCAUAUCCAAACCAGAGCACGGCUUAUAUGCGCUCUCUAAUUGUCUCGAUGCUCUUUACACAACUUUCCUCAUCGAUCAUUCAGUCAUCCUUCCAAUCAAAGACAAGAUUGUGUUCCUGUCCAAAGCCAUGAGUGUCAGCGAGAACAGUGACAAGCUGAGUUCACAGCUAAUACAGGAGGUUCAGCGAGACCUCCGUGCCUCUUUAACCCCAUCCCAGUUUCAGCCUAGCAGAUUGAGCCUUUAUGAAGCCUUGAGGAGUGUGGCAGAGCUCACCCAUUUCUGGCAAAGUCACGGCUUGCUGAAAGUGUGUAGCGGCCCUCCUUCCAGUUACACAGCUUUCAGACUACAGCAAAGUGUCCACAGAAUGCUGGCGGCUCUGGAAGAAGCCGACAUGACCGGAGAAGAAGAGUCUGAGAAGAAUAACCUCCGAGGUUUACUUGCAUCGCUGGCUUUCCCCACUGUAGAGAGCUCCUCAGAGUUGAGUAUGAGGGUUGCCAUGACCAUCGUAAGUCACCGGCUGGAGGACUAUCGCGACGUCACUGUGUUGUUUGCCAGCGAGAAGAGCUGGUCGGCCCAUGAGGAGCGGUGGCUGGACUGCCUUGAAGAGAACAAAACGGCCUUCCAGCACUGUGACACGCUAAUCCAACUGGCCUCCACCCUCACGAGUCAACUCCACAGCGAGAGCUUUGGCGUGAGCCAGGCCAGGAGGCUGCUCAAAGUUGUCACGGCCGUGUUCACUGCGCUCGCCUUGGAAGACAAGAAUAAAGCUUUGGCUGCCAUUCUGAGAAUAUCCAGUAAGGGCUUCUGUGGAUGCUCGGGCUCCUCCGCUCUGAUCGCCGGCUUUGAGCAAGAGCUCAACAUGGCUUUCAACUGCAUCAUCCAGGGAGGAGGCAAAGCUCCAACGGCGGAGGGCAACCUCAGCACAGCAGUGUCUUUAGUCGCCAGAGUGGCCUUCCAGAACCCAGAGGCUACUUUGAGAUCCUGCUGUCAUUCUGCCAUCUUUAAUAAAGGGGCGUUCGCUCUCAUGAGUAAGAUCCUGCAGCAGUUGCCCGGCCUGGGAGGUGUUACAGAAAGCAAAAGCGACGGGAGAAGAAAUCCAACACGUCUACUCUGCAGGUGUCUGCAGGAAAUAAUAAGCGUCAGAUCACUCUCAGACAAUGAAAAGGAACAGUUCCUUAAGUUUGUGGAGCUGAUGAUGGUGCCAGUCGCAACAGUUGAAGGGGAAAGAGAGAGCCUCCUGUCACCUCAGGAGCUUGUCAACACUUUUGUCCUGCCUAACCUAGCUCUCUCAGGCAGCAACGUUGUUGAUCUCAAUCUAAGUCUGCAACUUCUCCACGCCGCCUUGUGUGUGGACGUCCAGCAAGAAGUAGCUUCCUCCUCAGCCCACUGGGUGCUGGAAUGCUCUCCCUUUCCACUGCUCUACAUCCUGGCUCAGUUUCAUGACCAGGCCCUCAGGUGUUUGGAGCAACCACCCGAGGGUGCUGUACACCAUUGGUCCAUGGACACCAAAGAGCUGCUGGCAUCGGUGCUGAUCACACUGGCACAGGUGGUGGGCGUCCAGGUGGAAGCUGCCCCAAGUCGCUGGUCCAGAGCUCUCUUCUGGCUCCACGAUAAGAUGAAGGAACUGGACUGGACUGUUUACUUUCACCUGAAACCCGUGUGGGGUAGACACUUCAAAAACGAAGUUCCCACGUCUCUGUUGGCAGUGUGUCAUCUUCCUGAGCAGGAAUGGUCGGGUCUUAACCUUCCCCAGUACGGACCCGGCACAGGUCUUUUGGCGUGGAUGGAGUGCUGCGCACUGUCAGAAUCCCUCCAGUCUAUCAUGUUGUCUUGUCUGGCUCUGGACCAGCGUCAGUCUGAACACGUCAGCAUGUUCAGUAAAGGCCUGCUGGUGGCGCUAACCCAGACCAUGCCCUGGUGUUCCGUCCCCCAAUGGAGCAGAUUACUUGGAGCCUUGAAGGAGCUGAUUACCUCAGGUCGCCUCCAUGUGCCUUUCUCGCUGGAGUACGUGGAAUUCCUGCCCCUCCUAGAUCUGAGAAGGUUUUCCUAUGAACUCUGCCUCUCAGUCCUCAUGCUCAGAGUCCUGCAGCUGCUCUGUGGAUCCAGCUGUUCUCACUGGUUGACAGGAGAUGGCUGUGCCCACCUUGCAAGAUUAUAUGCUCACACGGUGAGGGAGGUGAUGAACUCGCUAAGAGCCAAGUUAGCCCUGCCCGCAUCUGGCACUCUUACAGUCUCGCCCAAUGUACAUCCUGCACCACCAAAAGUUUCCGAUGUAUCUUGCAACUCAUUUAAAGUUUCUAAAAUGUCCCAAGACUCUUUGAAAGAUCUUAAAGAAGGUGCACAAACUGUCGAGCAGGUUCCGAGUCAGGAGGUCCUUUUCGUUCUCAGUCAGAUCUUCUGUCAUGUUCAACACAUCCAGGUGAUGAUGCCUGGAGGCCAGAGUGAACCUCUCUUCCUGUCCAGCCUGGAGAUCCUCAGUCACUACCAGACCAUCAUGUCCGCUUUCCCCAAGAGCAGCACCCCCCUGGAGAAUGAAAACACCAAGCACUUCUUCUACACCAUUACAGACAACCUGGAGAACCAAGAGAUGAAGUCUGUUCUACAGCAGAAGAUAGCGCAACUCGUAUUAUCUCCUGCAUGAUGCCCUUGCCAUUUUGAUCCUGGUGUUCUCGAGGCCCACCUGCAUGCAAGAGACAGGAGAGGAGGCGUGAGAAGGCAAGAAAGAAGCAAUACCGUAACUGUGUCCUCGUUGAAGGUGGCGGGUGAGACAAAUGAACUUGAAGUGACCAACCUUUCGCUGACAAUCAAUACGUCCGCGUCGCUCCAGCGUGUGAAAGUCCACCUGAGAACUUUGCGGAAGCCGAAGUAAAGUCCAACAAAUGUCACGGUUCCACAAGCAAACGUUUUAAGCAUGAUGAUCGUUGGCGUCGCCCUUAAAGCACAAUAAUGUAUCACUCUAACAACAAUAAACCUUACUAUUGUACAACAGUACCGUUAAAGAUGAACAGAGCGACGCACCGGAUAUGACGCACAGGAAAGGCGGGGGCAGGAAUUUCUAUCUAUGUCGUGCUUUCACAAUAAAGGUUGUCACAAUAACAUUAAUACAUACAUAUAUAAUCAUAUAUAUAUACACAUAAAUAAUAAGAAAAUGCCGCAGCUAAGAAGCUGUGGCGCAAGCAUCUAAAGCACUUGUUUACCAUGAGUAAAGUAAAAAAAAGAAUUUAAAAAAAUGUCAGCGAGAGAAGGUUGCCCGGAUGUUUGAGAUUCGUUCACACGCUGGUGCGCGGCCUCAUAACUACAUUUUCGACUAUAUCACAUGUGUAAUAUGUAGACAAUUACGAAAAGUGUCUGUAAAAAAAACUCGCGGCUGGAUUUGUUGUCACUACAAAUGUAUACGCAAUAACAGCAAUAAUGGCGAUAACGAGCCUACAUUUCGCUUACCGUCGGUGUUAGUGACCAUCUACAAAUUACACAUUCCAGGGUGAAAAAUGUGUAACAAAUCACCAUAUAGCAAAUAUAUAUAUAUUCCCCCCCCCCCCCCCCCCCAUUCUGUUUAGUGUAGUAGUUGGCAAUGGGCGUGCACUACUUACUACAAGUCAAACUUUGCUGAUAUCUUGCGUUAUAGAGAAACUAGAUGCAAUUCAUUGGCAAAAAUAUUCACCAAAAUUCAACAAGUCAAAAUAUUCACUAAAUCAAUAAAAACUAAUUUUUCCUCAGUCUGAUUGCUGUGGUAGUGGAAACGGGAGUCCACUACUUACUACAGGUCCAACUUUUCUGAUAUCUUACAUUUUGGUUAAACUGUGUGCAAUUUAUCAUCCAAAAUAUUUACUAAAAAUCAAUAAAAAAGCGUUUUCUCAUUCUGAUUGGUGUAAGUAGUUGGCAAGGGGAGUCCACUACUUAUUAAAAGGUCAAACUUUGCUGACGUCUUGCAUUAUAGAGAAACUGUGUGCAAUUAAUUGGCCAAAAAAAUAUUCACAAAAAAAAAAAAGCAAUAAAAAGCCUCAUUUGAGAAACUUCACAUGCAUUUCAAAGGAAAGCCAAGUUUCGCAUAUUUUUUCUUUAGAAGUUCAGAUCUACUAGUUAGUACUAUUCAGAUUGGACUUCGGGUGAAGUACAAGCAAAUAUUUCACAUCAAAUGUCUUUUGCAUUUCCUUAGGGUUGGCUUCACUUUCAAGAUGUUCUUCAUUAGGAUGCGUUUCCUAAGACAGUGAGCCAAUUUGAUUUAUUUUUAAUUUUUGUUUUUGUUUACACAGAAUCACAGCAAUCAUAUAUACUGCACAUGCAUUUUUAUUCAACUCAUUAUAAAAUUCUUACAUUCCUUUUUUAGAAAAGUGCACUAUGCUGGCUGUAACAGAAAGGCAAACUAACUGUGCCCAGGAAGAUUUACAGUGAUGUAAUUUAGUUAAUGUCUGAGUUGUAAACAGUAUUUUCUUUUUAGAAUAGCUGCACUGACAUGGCAGUACCUUGUGCGUCUCAAACAA